CCCCCCCCCCCCCUCACUCCGUCCCUGUCCGUCUAUAACGUUCCUGUUCCAUCCCCAGAAAGUGCGCGAGCGGGAGAAGCCCGGCGUCACACGGAACGCCAGCGCGAGCCAUGGCCGCCGGACUCUCCGGCGCCGCGAUGACCAGCUUCGCCGCCAACAAGAACCCCGCGCUGCUGGCCGCGGCCUCGCGCCGCAGGGCGCCGCCUGCCCUCGCCGGGCGCGCGCUGCCGUUCUCGCCGCUCACCACCGCGCGGGCCCCGCGCCGCCGCGGGCUCGGGACCGUCACGUGCUUCGUGCCGCAGGACACGGAGCGCCCGGCGGCCGCCCACGUGCCGGUGCCGGUGCCCGAGACGGCGCUGGAGGAGGUGGCCAGGGCCGCGGCUGCGCGGCGCGUCGCGGAGAGGAAGGCGCGGAAGCUGUCCGAGCGGCGGACGUACCUGGUGGCCGCCGUGAUGUCCAGCCUCGGGGUCACGUCCAUGGCCGUCGCCGCCGUGUACUACCGCUUCAGCUGGCAGAUGGAGGGCGGCGAGGUGCCGGUGGCCGAGAUGUUCGGCACGUUUGCGCUCUCCAUCGGCGCGGCGGUCGGGAUGGAGUUCUGGGCGCGGUGGGCGCACCGGGCGCUGUGGCACGCCUCCCUGUGGCACAUGCACGAGUCGCACCACCGGCCGCGGGAGGGGCCCUUCGAGCUCAACGACGUGUUCGCCAUCAUCAACGCCGCGCCGGCCAUCUCCCUCCUCGCCUACGGCUUCUUCCACCGCGGCUUCGUGCCCGGCCUCUGCUUCGGCGCGGGCCUCGGGAUUACGCUGUUCGGCAUGGCCUACAUGUUCGUCCACGACGGCCUGGUCCACCGGCGCUUCCCCGUCGGCCCCAUCGCCAACGUGCCCUACUUCCGGCGAGUCGCUGCCGCUCACAAGUCCACUACCGACCUCAACUCAUGAUAUUUUUUACCGCCCUUUUGCGCGUGUGUGGCUGGGCUCCUCGGCGAUGUCGCGAGCAGAUCCACCACACGGACAAGUUCGAGGGCGUCCCGUAUGGGCUCUUCCUGGGACCCAAGGAGCUGGAGGAGGUUGGUGGCCUGGACGAGCUGGAGAAGGAGCUCGCGCGAAUCCGCAGCCGGGGCAUGUGACUUCGACCGGCGCGGCGGCGGCGUGGACGGAGCGCGCGGCAGGCUCCGCUCCAGGAUUUUUGUUUUUGGUCGCUUUUUCGUUGAUUCGAUCGUGGGGGAGUCGAGGACAACGAGAAAUUGGUUUGGUUGUUUGGGGCGUGGAUGCUGUAGAGAACAUUUGUAAGGUCUGGGGUCGGAGGGCACCGUUCGUACAUGGAAGAGUCCGGUGCCAUGGAAUUGUUUUUUUCCCCUUUCCCCUGCCAUUUUCAGGUCGGCGUCUCCGUGGAGCGUCGCACGUUCUGGUCCCCCUGUAUUGUUCUUAUGGCUAGGAUUCUGUGCAUAACACAUGUAGGGAAAUGUUAUGAACCACAUCAACGAAAGCAAAAUUCAGUGGUUGCAAACAAAGCUGGAAGUUCAGA